rnacentral:lncRNA from 1 species
AAGUGAAUCGGAAAAUUUCUUGUAAACAUUUGUAAUUAAACUAUCAAUGGUUAUUUAUUCAUUAAUUGAAAUAUUUUACUUUUACUUAGUUUGAUGUAUCAGUGUGGGGGAGCACGUGACUUUAAAAGAUGCGUACCACUGAAAGAACCAAAUUUGACGGAAAAUGCAAACAUAGACGACCUUUGACAGGAAUGCGGAAAGCAAAUCGAUAGCAAGUCAUAUCUCUGUGAUCCUGAAAGAAGACACAGUAAGAGAGCACCGUACAAAUGAUGUGGACAUACCUUCUGCAGUGAAAAGCUAACUAAUAGGUGCAGCGACCCUGACGAAGAAAAAGGGUGACAAAUAUCAAAAGAAAUUUUCUCUGCAUACGGAUUUACGCUGCAAGAACUUCGGCGCAGUGGUGAUUCCAAAGUGGACAUUAUGAUCCUUAAGAGCACAAACUGAAAAGGUGUGUGUCGAUGUUGGGGGGUCUACAGGUACCAUCAAGGACUUAGGACACAGAGAAAAGCAUGUAAACCUAAAACUGGUGUCAAAUUGUUUUGUGUUUUUCUUUGGUUGUAGCAUUUUUAAAUGUAAAAACUUAUACCUAAUGAGAUGUACGUGUAAAAUAUAUGAUAACGUCAAUCUGCAUUUUCUUUGAGUACAAGACGUCAAUUAACCAAGUUAAACGGUAAAAAACAUCCAUACUUUUGGGUCAAAAUCCCCGCACCCCGUUUCAGGCUUUAAAACCAUAUAUCAUUUUGAAUGUCCUGUCCAAGUUUUAAAAUAAAAUCUGUAUGAAGAUCACAUGGAAGCAUAAAAUGCAACAGAACAAAAAAUUAGCUGACUCGGUUUGUUUGAAUCUGUUCAUGAGAAGUAUUGGAAAAUGGCUACUGUGCAGCACCCCUUACGCCCCCUAGCAUCAACUUAAGUGGAAUUCUAUUCCAGAGAUAUUGAAUGGACUCUUUGAUCCUGUUAUGACACCUGAUAAAAUAUGUAAGAAGAUUAUCUGGAAGCAUUGAACGCAACCAAGCAAAUUAUUAGCUCGGUUUGACUGUAUCUGUUCAUGAGAGGUAAUUAUUAUUACUAUUAUUUUUAUUAUCGGUGCUAUACACAGGGUACGUUAAAGAACCAGGCUGUCUAUUCGCAAAGAGCUAGGGUAAGUUAGCCAGACAAACCUGUAUCUAAAAGAGAUUUCUCUCUCUCUGUUCUGGGGGCUUUGUCUCCCUCUGUCACUCUGGUCAGAUUGCUCUGUGUACUUGUAGAGGAUGAAUUUGGCACCCCGAGUGGCUGCCUUUGCGCUAUGUAAAGCGCCUUUGAACGUGUAUAUCAUGAAAAGGGCGCUAUAUAAAUCUGGUAUAAUAAUAAUAAUAAAUAACAGAUAUAUAUAUGUACCAUCCUCAUGCGCUCAUUUUUUCUUAUGAAAUCUUCGUCCUAAUUUUUGUAUGUUAC